rnacentral:lncRNA from 1 species
CUGCUCUGGGGCGGGGCGGCUGGCUGGGAGUCGGUCAAGUCCUGCUGAACUUACUUCUUUCACCGCUAACAGAAGUGGGGGAUAACCUUGGCUGUGGGCAGUGUGGCAGAAAUGUUGGCGUCUCCUCAGAUUCCUAAUCCGCUGAAAAGGGUCAGCAGUGUUCCAGUUUAGGCUGAUGUCUCCAGAUAGGCACAGUAUGCCUUACGUAAUUUUCAUUUAAGGCAAACAUUUAAUCACUUUGUUUUUAAAUACUGGGCCUAGAAUGUUCUAAGUUUUUGUAAUGGGGAAAAAAUGCCAAUUUAAAAUGUUUGCUUUCAGCAUUUGUCCUGCAAAAUCGGAAUAAAAUGACUGCCUGUUGAGUUUGAUGUGCUGGUUACAAGACACGGUAUUCCGUAGUGUUUCCUGGUUCUCCAGGGCGUCAUUGUCCCACACACCUCGCUCUAGGUGUAGAGCGACAAGUCUGCCUCGACCUAGCCCGCCGGCGGUCGUGCAAGGGCUGCGAGUGGUUGGUUGAUGGUGUAAAGAUGCGGACACAGGUUCACUGUAGGUUUAACGUAGCCCAGCUUGCUCUCUGGAAAGCCUUCUUACCAAUCCAUGGGAGGUCAGACGGUGCCGUGGAAAAGUGGCAGAAGACGCGAGCAACAGAGCUGUGGAGGGGGAAUCCGCUCGGGCGAUGCCGGGCGUCCCGCGCGGGGCAGCUUGGCUGAGCACUUACGUGACUGCCGACAUUUGAGGUUGAUGGAAGUGGGGAAACGGUUGCUUUCAGCAGACAGCUUCGCAGUGCAACGUCAGCCUGAAGAAGCACAGGAACCGCAGCCUGCUCAGCUCCUUCUUCUGCUGCUUCCGGGACCACAGUGCGGAGGCCCCCCCGGCCAGCGGCCCCAGCGCGCUGCCGCCCCUGGUGGAGGAGAACGGCGGGCUCCAGAAGGUCAGUGCCGCGGGGGCUGCGCCCGGCCCCGCUGCUGGCCGCGUCCCUGCCCGUCCCCGGAAGGUGUCCUCGCACACAUGCGCACAUACAGGCAUGCACACACACACGCACACAUGCUCACACGCACAGUGCUGACGGGGGGCUGCGCCCAGCCCCGCUGGCGGCCGCAUCCCUGCCCGUCCCUGACAGGUGUCCUCGUGCACACGCACACACACACGUAACUGGAGAGCACACUUAGUGGGAGUUAUCAGAGUCACUUCACAUUUGUAUCACAUCCUCUUUCAAGAAGUUGAUGCGUGAAGUAGAGUUACAGACCCAUUGGGGCUGGCACUGGUGUUUGUGGCGUAGCAGGUAAGGCCACCUCCCGAGACGCUGGCAUUCUCUACGGGCGCCAGUUCGAGUCCUGGCUGCUCCACUUCCCAACCAGCUCCCUGCUAACGUGCCUGGGAAGAGCAGUGGAGGAGGGCCAAGUCUUCGUGCCCUCCGAUGGGAGACUUUGUGCCUGGGAGACUCAGAUGAAGCGCCAGGCUCCUGGCUUCGGCCUGGCCCAGCCCUGGCCGUGGCGGCCAUCUGGUGAGUGAACCGCUGGAUGGAAGAUCUGUCUCCAUCUCUACUCUCUGUAACUCUGACGUUCAAAAUAAGGAGCCAGCAGCAGACACACAAAUGGAAACCAGGGAGCCACGCACAGGGAAGAGCUGGCCAUCAAUAGAUCUGUAAUGCAGUGUGACUUCCUCGUGGAAUAGCAGUCAUGUGUUAAUAGUCCCUUGUAUGUAUCAGAUUUAAAAAUAGAAGUCAGUGGUCUGCGCCGCAGCUCAAUAGGCUAAUCCUCCACCUUGCGGCGCCGGCACACCGGGUUCUAGUCGGGGCGCCGGAUUCUGUCCCGGUUGCCCCUCUUCCAGGCCAGCUCUCUGCUGUGGCCCGGGAGUGCAGUGGAGGAUGGCCCAAGUGCUUGGGCCCUGCACCCCAUGGGAGACCAGGAGAAGCACCUGGCUCCUGCCUUCGGAUCAGCGCGAUGUGCCAGCCGCGGCGGCCAUUGGAGGGUGAACCAACAGAAAAGGAAGACCUUUCUCUCUCUCUCUCUCACUGUCCACUCUGCCUGUCAAAAAAAAAAAAAAUUAAAAAAAAUAGAAGUCAGAUCGUCACCACAGGUCAAGAACCAAAAUCUCUCCAGGUGCUGAUAGACACACCCCAGACAAAGGCGCACGGCGAGCAAUGAGAUUUAUGACGACGAACCCAGUGCAAAUGGUGGCAGCACAAACCUGUCAAAAGAGAAUUCUGGGUAAAAUCCGCUGGAAGAGGCACAGGGGAUUGUUUGCUUUAGGCUGAAGGUAGAGGACAGAAAGGUCAGAACACUUCAUGUCCCGAACGCCAGGAGCAGGGCGGGAAGACAGCUGGUCAGGUACGGGAGAAGCGGGGAGUGCUGCACGUGGUUAGCAAAGAAGUGCAGGCCAAGACCACGGCACCUUGGCCGCCAGUCACAUCACCAAACCCUCCUGCAGGCGAGGUUUGGAUUUAGCUCGGGGUGGCAGGGGCAGGUGAGGGUGCCGGGUGGUCGUGGGUAAGAGUGCGGCGUGGGUACAGCUCCGCUGGUGACCGUUUGGCCACCUGACCUCCACUGCUGUUUUGUUUUGGUUAUUCAGUGCCAUACUUGUACACUGUUACGGGGCACAUGCAGUUUUUCAGCAAGUGUACCCAGCAUAAGCUGACCCAGCAGUAAUUCCUUACACCUUAAACCUGUCUCUGGCUGUCAGUCAGGCCGGUCCACUUUAUGGACGAAACUGGGCAGCACCGGGCCUGGCGUUGUGGCACAGGGGGUGGACUGCCACUCGAGACAACAGCAUCUGACCCUGGAGAGCUGGCUGGGUCCUGGCCGCACUGCUUCCCACCCACUCCUGGGGAGGCAGCGGAAGAUGGCCCAGUGCCUGGCCUCUGCCACCCCGCUGGGGGACCAGAGAGCUCCAGGAUGGUGCCGGCCUGGCUGGGGCGGCCAUUUGGAGAGUGAAGCAGCAGAUGGAAGACCUCUGGCUCUCUGCCUUUGAAAUAAACAAAUCGACAAAUCCUUUUUUUAUUUAUGA